rnacentral:rRNA from 1 species
AUUGAACGCUGGCGGCAGGCCUAACACAUGCAAGUCGAGCGGAUGAGUGGAGCUUGCUCCAUGAUUCAGCGGCGGACGGGUGAGUAAUGCCUAGGAAUCUGCCUGGUAGUGGGGGACAACGUUUCGAAAGGAACGCUAAUACCGCCUACGUCCUACGGGAGAAAGUGGGGGAUCUUCGGACCUCACGCUAUCAGAUGAGUCUAGGUCGGAUUAGCUAGUUGGUGAGGUAAAGGCUCACCAAGGCGACGAUCCGUAACUGGUCUGAGAGGAUGAUCAGUCACACUGGAACUGAGACACGGUCCAGACUCCUACGGGAGGCAGCAGUGGGGAAUAUUGGACAAUGGGCGAAAGCCUGAUCCAGCCAUGCCGCGUGUGUGAAGAAGGUCUUCGGAUUGUAAAGCACUUUAAGUUGGGAGGAAGGGCAGUAAGUUAAUACCUUGCUGUUUUGACGUUACCAACAGAAUAAGCACCGGCUAACUUCGUG